rnacentral:rRNA from 1 species
UGAGGAAUCUUGCGCAAUGGGGGAAACCCUGACGCAGCAACGCCGCGUGAGUGAGGAAGGCCUUCGGGUCGUAAAGCUCUGUCAGAUGGGAAGAAAUGGGUGGGGGCUAAUAUCGUCCAUCCUUGACGGUACCAUCAGAGGAAGAACCGGCUAACUCCGUGCCAGCAGCCGCGGUCAUACGGGGGGUGCAAGCGUUGUUCGGCAUCAUUGGGCGUAAAGCGCGCGCAGGCGGCUUGGUAAGUCAGAGGUGAAAUCCCUGGGCUUAACCCAGGAAGUGCAUUUGAUACUGCGUGGCUAGAGUACGGGAGAGGAGAGGGGAAUUCCUGGUGUAGAGGUGAAAUUCGUAGAUAGCAGGAGGAACACCGGUGGCGAAGGCGACUUUCUGGCCCGAUACUGACGCUCAGGCGCGAAAGCGUGGGGAGCAAACA